GAGAAAUCCAAAUGAUAGUAAACUGGGAAUUUUUGCACAACUUUAAGAUACAUAUAGAUAUGGAUUAACAGAAACUGAGUCUAAGUUAGAAUUAAUUACAGAUCAGAAGGUCAAACUUGCAUCAAAAAUAUAUAUAGACACUAAUGAAUAAAACAACAGAGACUCAUUGGAAUGCAGUUAAAAGAAACUGGGAAAUUGAUAGAGGCAUAUCCUUGGAAUCACGUCUGGAAAACCGCUCAUGAGAUAUUUAAAUCGUUGAAGAACAAGAUGAUAAAUUAGAAUUUUCACCACUGCGCGACUCCAUAAGACAGGUGUAUCUGACUCAGAUCUCUGUUGGCACUGCAAAGAGGAUGAAGGUGUUUUCUAUCAUAUGGCAUGGACGUGCCCCAAAGUGCAAAUCGUCUGGAAAACUGUUUUAGACUACCUCAGAGAGAUCACAGGAGAUACAGUGCAUAGUGAUCCAGUAAGCCAUCUUCCCUCAGAUACAUCCCUCGACUCUUUGCACAAGGCUAGCUGAGGAUGCUGCUGCUCCAGCUGAUGCAGGGGGGGCCCCAAGAAGACUUUGUCCCAUAAGCAACAUUGCAAAAGAGGCAUCUGCAAUAUAGUGGAUACAUUUUGGAGUUCAAAACUAUGUGCCCCCCUUGGGUCAAGCCCUCCAGCCUGCCAGGCCCUCCACUCAAUCAGAUGACUCUCAAUUAUGUCCAACCCCCUGCUGGAUCUUCUGUGCCCUACCUCAAAAUACAUGUGACUGGGUUUAUCCAAAAGCAUCAUUAAAGCCCAUG